rnacentral:lncRNA from 1 species
CAUAUAAGUAUAUAAAGCAUUCAUUAAUUGGUGACAAUCAAACAUUUUAAUAGAAGAAUUUAAAACUGCACCAAUUAAGUAAACUGGAGGAAUUGGAAAGAAAUACUUUUUGAAUUUCGCUUGCAUAUUUACAACAACAUCCGUAUAUCUAUCUUUCUUCUUAAAUUCAUGUAGUAGCAAAGAAAUUUCAGCUAUAUGCACUAAAGCCAUAGUAACAGUUGGGUAAUAUGCGCCAGAAAACACAACAGUAGCAGUAUAAAAUUUAUGCAAAAAUUUAACAACAUCACUAAUGACCUCCCNNN